rnacentral:rRNA from 1 species
AGCGAACGUUAGCGGCGCGCCUAACACAUGCAAGUCGCACGAGAAAGGGAGCAAUCCCCGGUACAGUGGCGCACGGGUGAGUAACACGUAGAUGACCUUCCCUGGAGUGGUGGAUAACCUGCCGAAAGGCGGGCUAAUACAGCAUGGGACCACAUGGUUUUGACCGAGUGGUGAAAGCGGGCCUCUGUUCACAAGCUCGCGCUCUGGGAUGGGUCUGCGUCCCAUCAGCUAGUUGGUGAGGUAAUGGCUCACCAAGGCAUCGACGGGUAGCUGGUCUGAGAGGAUGACCAGCCACACUGGAACUGAGACACGGUCCAGACUCCUACGGGAGGCAGCAGUGGGGAAUCUUGCGCAAUGGGCGAAAGCCUGACGCAGCGACGCCGCGUGGGUGAUGAAGGCCUGG